AUGCUCUGUGACCGAAUGGGGAACGGCGGACGGCUCAGUAAUGUUGCGAUGAUCUGCUCUAGUUGUGUAAGAUAACCGCGGAAACCUGUGGCUAAGAGACUAGAAUGAGACGCAACCCUAUCAGUUUGUUGGUAGUGUAACGGACUACCAAGACUAUGACGGGUGACGGGAAAUCAGUGUUUGAUUCCGGAGAGGGAGCCUGAGAGAUGGCUCCCACGUCCAAGGAUGGCAGCAGGCGCGAAAAUUGUCCACUCUUUGUUGAGGAGACAGUUAUGAGGCGUGAUUGUAAGAGCGAAGAGUAAACAUCUUUGUGUAAUGCAACUAGAGGGCAAGUUUUGGUGCCAGCAGCCGCGGUAACUCCAACUCUAGAAGUGCCUAUUGUGGAUGCUGCAGUUAAAAAGUCCGUAGUCGUUGAUGCAAUUAAAAGGUGUAGAUCAAGUGCACCAAGUUUGUUAGUUGUGGCGGAGCGGACAGGGAGCAUGGUAUAGGUUGGCGAAGAAUGAAAUCUCAAGACCCAACCUGGACCAACUGAGGCGAAAGCGGUGCUCUUGUACGCGUCUGUGGAUCAAGGACGAAGGCUAGAGGAUCGAAAGUGAUUAGACACCGCUGUAGUUCUAGCAGUAAACUAUGCCGACAUUCUCUGUUGUUGAGACGGGGAGGGGAGAAAUCUUAGUUUUCGGGCUCUGGGGAUAGUACGCUUGCAAGAGUGAAACUUAAAGCGAAAUUGACGGAAGAUCACCACAAGGAGUGGAUUGUACUGCUUAAUUUGACUCAACACGGGAAAACUUACCAGGGCCAAGUCUCUCGUAGAUUGGCGACAUGAGAGGGGCAAGAGUGGUGCAUGGCCGUUGGAAAUUGAUGGGAUGACCUUUAGCUUAAGUGCUGUAACCAGUGAGAUCUUCUAGACAGGUGUCUUACUGACACAGGAAGGAGAAGGCUAUAACAGGUCCGUGAUGCCCUCAGAUGCCCUGGGCCGCAAGUGCAAUACAAUAUCCGUUUGAGCGACAUAAAUAUGCUUACGGAUGAGUAGGAUUAGCUCUUGUAAAUGAGCUAUGAAUGAGGAAUUCCUAGUAACUGUGUCUCAUCAAGGCACAGUGAAUGCGUCCCUGUUCUUUGUACACACCGCCCGUCACUAUUGCGGAUGGCAAUCAAGAUGAAGAGCCUAGGUUCUGAAUAUUGAUCGUUAGACAUAAUACAAGUCGUAACAAGGU
rnacentral:rRNA from 1 species